CCUACGAGAGGCAGCAGUGGGGAAUAUUGGACAAUGGGCGAAAGCCUGAUCCAGCCAUGCCGCGUGUGUGAAGAAGGUCUUCGGAUUGUAAAGCACUUUAAGUUGGGAGGAAGGGCAGUAAGUUAAUACCUUGCUGUUUUGACGUUACCGACAGAAUAAGCACCGGCUAACUUCGUGCCAGCAGCCGCGGUAAUACGAAGGGUGCAAGCGUUAAUCGGAAUUACUGGGCGUAAAGCGCGCGUAGGUGGUUUGUUAAGUUGGAUGUGAAAGCCCCGGGCUCAACCUGGGAACUGCAUCCAAAACUGGCAAGCUAGAGUAUGGCAGAGGGUGGUGGAAUUGCCUGUGUAGCGGUGAAAUGCGUAGAUAUAGGAAGGAACACCAGUGGCGAAGGCGACCACCUGGGCUAAUACUGACACUGAGGUGCGAAAGCGUGGGGAGCAAACAGGAUUAGAUACCCGUGUAGUC
rnacentral:rRNA from 1 species